CGUACAAGCAGUGGGAGCACAGGUUUACCUGUGUGACUGCGUACCUUUUGUAUAAUGGGUCAGCGACUUAUAUUCUGUAGCAAGGUUAACCGUAUAGGGGAGCCGGAGGGAAACCGAGUCUUAAUUGGGCGUUAAGUUGCAGGGUAUAGACCCGAAACCCGGUGAUCUAGCCAUGGGCAGGUUGAAGGUUGGGUAACACUAACUGGAGGACCGAACCGACUAAUGUUGAAAAAUUAGCGGAUGACCUGUGGCUGGGGGUGAAAGGCCAAUCAAACCGGGAGAUAGCUGGUUCUCCCCGAAAGCUAUUUAGGUAGCGCCUCGUGAAUUCAUCUCCGGGGGUAGAGCACUGUUUCGGCUAGGGGGCCAUCCCGGCUUACCAACCCGAUGCAAACUGCGAAUACCGGAGAAUGUUAUCACGGGAGACACACGGCGGGUGCUAACGUCCGUCGUGAAGAGGGAAACAACCCAGACCGCCAGCUAAGGUCCCAAAGUCAUGGUUAAGUGGGAAACGAUGUGGGAAGGCCCAGACAGCCAGGAUGUUGGCUUAGAAGCAGCCAUCAUUUAAAGAAAGCGUAAUAGCUCACUGGUCGAGUCGGCCUGCGCGGAAGAUGUAACGGGGCUAAACCAUGCACCGAAGCUGCGGCAGCGA
rnacentral:rRNA from 1 species